GACCUGAUGGCACAGUUGGUUAGUGUGUCUGCUCACAGUGGGGUCCAUGAAAUAUUCUUAGCAGAAGACUCCGGUUCGACUCCGGGUCAGGUCA